AGUAGUUUGACUCUGGCUCGAGAUGACGCUGGCGGCGUGCUUAACACAUGCAAGUCGAGCGAAGCACUUUUUUUAGAACUCUUCGGAGGGAAGAGAGGGUGACUUAGCGGCGGACGGGUGAGUAACGCGUGGGCAACCUGCCUUACACAGGGGGAUAACAAUUAGAAAUGAUUGCUAAUACCGCAUAAGACCACGGUACUGCAUGGUACAGUGGUAAAAACUGAGGUGGUGUAAGAUGGGCCUGCGUCUGAUUAGGUAGUUGGUGGGGUAGAAGCCUACCAAGCCGACGAUCAGUAGCCGACCUGAGAGGGCGACCGGCCACAUUGGGACUGAGACACGGCCCAAACUCCUACGGGAGGCAGCAGUGGGGAAUAUUGCACAAUGGGGGAAACCCUGAUGCAGCGACGCCGCGUGAGUGAGGAAGUAUUUCGGUAUGUAAAGCUCUAUCAGCAGGGAAGAAAGAGGAAUUUGACGGUACCUGAGGAAUAAGCUCCGGCUAACUACGUG
rnacentral:rRNA from 1 species